AAGCAGUUGUAUCAACGCCACAAGUCAUUUCUGUUGAAAUUCUCAAAUCAGGCCAAACUGGUUGUUUCAAUUUUAAAUGUUUUGCGCUGUCA